CGGGUGAGUAACACGUGGAUAACCUACCUAUAAGACUGGGAUAACUUCGGGAAACCGGAGCUAAUACCGGAUAAUAUAUUGAACCGCAUGGUUCAAUAGUGAAAGACGGUUUUGCUGUCACUUAUAGAUGGAUCCGCGACGCAUUAGCUAGUUGAUAAGGUAACGGCUUACCAAGGCAACGAUGCGUAGCCGACCUGAGAGGGUGAUCGGCCACACUGGAACUGAGACACGGUCCAGACUCCUACGGGAGGCAGCAGCA
rnacentral:rRNA from 1 species